AUUGAACGCUGGCGGCAGGCCUAACACAUGCAAGUCGGGCGAACGAGGCUUCGGCCAAGUGAGCGGCGAACGGGUGAGUAACACGUAGGAAUCUGCCUGGUAGUGGGGGACAACGUCUCGAAAGGGACGCUAAUACCGCAUACGCCCUACGGGGGAAAGCAGGGGCUCUUCGGACCUUGCGCUAUCAGAUGAGCCUGCGUCGGAUUAGCUAGUUGGUAGGGUAAAGGCCUACCAAGGCGACGAUCCGUAACUGGUCUGAGAGGAUGAUCAGUCACACCGGAACUGAGACACGGUCCGGACUCCUACGGGAGGAAGCAGUGGGGAAUAUUGGACAAUGGGGGCAACCCUGAUCCAGCCAUGCCGCGUGUGUGAAGAAGGCCUUCGGGUUGUAAAGCACUUUAGGUCGGGAGGAAGGUUCGCUGGCUAAUAUCCAGCGGAAUUGACGUUACCGACAGAAUAAGCACCGGCUAACUCCGUGCCAGCAGCCGCCGUAA
rnacentral:rRNA from 1 species